UAAAGGCCUGAUGAGAAGUCACGCUGCAAAAUAUAAUGCUUUGAAAAAUACAGGCACCUCUUUUCCUAUGCAUGAAACCAAACAUAAAACAAAGUAUUGCUGUGUUUGUCAUACGAAAAGAUGGACUUUUCUGUAUUAUCUCGUAAAACAUAUUUUUCCUGUUCCUAAGAGGAGCAGAUUAAGACAUUUGAACACCUCAGCUAGACUUCUUAGAGGUUGGCUGGAAGUUACCGAACAUAUGGUGUUUUGGGUAAACAGAGAGCCACUAAGAAGAUAUUUGAAAUCUUUUGGAAUAUAUAAGCCAAUCAGAUCCCCACUGGGAUCUGACACUAUUGCAUGGGGCUCAGAGCAUGUAACUAGUGCUUAACCAGACCUAAAAAGGGAAGCGAGCAGCCUGAGCUAAUUCUCUGGGUUCCCCCUGCAGUCAAUGAGUUAAGGAGGUAAAUUCAUUGCACUUAAUUUAGACGUCUGUGCAGGAAUUAAAUAAAUCUUCAGCUGCCUGUGUCCUCACUGAUUAAAACAGGAGUUGGCUGGUUAGUUUAGAAAGCAUGCCCUAACCUGGAAAUAAAGUCAGCCAGCUUAGCAGAUGCUGGGAUAUCUUCGCGCAAACGCGAUUGAGGAGAAAAUCUACCUGCCAGCAGAGAUGAGUGGGAAGAAAAAGGAAGGUCCUUGAACUACAAAAAGUGCAUUCUUCAGGCAGUCCUUUGGUGACUCCCUGUUUGUAGUAGAGGUAAUUAGGGCAGGCUUGGAAGGACCCCUGAAGGUCUGAGAAAUUUUUCAGUAACUUGCUCUCAAGCCAGAUGCUUGUAAGCUCCGUCACCUUCACUCAUAUCACCAAAAUAUCAUAUGUUUCAAGACAAUUCAUGGAUGAAAUGAGAAGAAAGAAUUGCUGGCUUUGCAAUGUUACCCACACUGGUCUGCUUGUGGAUCGAGAGAACAUAGACAUGGCCUUUGUCAUUGUCCUCGUCACACCAGUGUUCUUGCCAUGGAGAUAAUGCACAACCUCUCUUACUCUCUUCUCCUUCCUGCUAACGGCAACUGGCAUGUAAAAGGAAGCUUAUAUGUGUGUCCCGGUCCUCAUGUAUUUUUGCUUCCCCGUUGAUUUAUGGGAGCAGGCUUUCAGUUCCUUCUGGGGUUUUAUAGCCAUGGGUGUACGAUGGGGUUCUGUGUGUUCACACUCCGCUUGCUGCCAGAACAGCUCAGAUUUUCUUGCCCUCUAGCGUUUUCAGUGGGGAGUAGGAGGAUUUGUCCGAGAGGUGAACAGCCUAGUUCCAUGCUUUGAAUUCCUGUGGUUAAAUGACAUUCUAAAUCUUUGUUUUAUUCUCACCUUGCACCUUGUCUGUUUUAAAGCUUUCUUAGAAAACUCAUUCAAUUUUAAAAACUUAUUUACACCUCUAGUUCACCUUGUCUCCCUAUAAAGGUCUUUUCAAACCUGGUAACUUCAAUAAUUUGUUGUGUCUCUUCAUUUUUGCUGAACUUGUUAUUUCCAAAUUGAAUUGGUACAAGCUUUAUUUGCUGCUGCUGUUUUAUUUUUCUGCAAUGGAAGAUAAAACACACAGCAUGAUAGGAUUUUUCAGGCUUUUUCUGACUAAAAUAUUAAAACAGCUCUGAUUGCUGCUAGUCAAAAACUGGCGACACAUUUCACAUUUAGCCUCCAGGGGCAGAAGUGAUCACCCCUGCCUGUACUUAUACCCUGCUCAACACCUUUAGGUCUUCCCCAUGAAAUCCGGUGGAUGAUGGGAUUUUUCACUGCAAGAAUCUAGCCUUGCCUCAGGCUUCCUCUUUCCUUAAGAAAGAAGGGACAUUCAGACUUGUUAACACUGUGCACAAGAGGUUGCUCACUUCUCCUGCAAAUCCAGACUUGCAGACCUGGCAAGUUAGUUACACAGUCAUCGGUGUUGAACUACAGGUACAAGGGCUGUCAGGGGUGUAUAACUUUAUUGUUUCAGUCAGUCCUGCCUCCUAACUACUAGAGUUUCUGCUAUUUUUUUUCAAUCCACCUUUAACCCGAAUCUGGUCUAUGUUUCUUAACACUGUUUUCUUGAACAAAUUGAGCCUCCAUUGAGCUACUGCUAGAAGAAGUCAAAAGGAAAGGGAAAAUCAUGCUGUUCCUAGCUCAAACUUUUUGAAAAUGUCCCUAAAAUUAACCUCUGUUUUGCUAAUUUAAUAUUUAUCAGUUGUUUGUAAACGUCAGGUGUCAGCAGCUUAGUUUUGGCUCAUUCACGUGAUACCGUUCAUUUGAAUCUUACUGAUAAGUUGUAUCUUGACCAGAGCACAUUUGAAUGCUGAUAUUCUGGCAUUGGACCUAUUUCCUCUGGUGUCAUGGUUAACCAUAACUGUUAACCCCAUAUGCUAAUAAUAUUAUACCAUGAUUGUUUUACAACCACAGCUAAUUUUUCCUAUUCAUUCCUUGUACCAAUGAGUUUGCCUGAUUCAUUUGAUAUGGUUUCUGGCUUCAUAAUGUUUUGACAGAGUUGCAAAAUGUUCUUGUUUAGAAUUAUUGCAGCCCAUGUGACCUCUGUUCCCUACAGGGUAUCUCCCAUUAUAAGCGAUGCUGUUCAGAAUAACUUUCAGACUUGCCUAAAACAAGA